GCUAAACGCGAAGAACCUUACCAGGCCUUGACAUGCAGAGAACUUUCCAGAGAUGGAUUGGUGCCUUCGGGAACUCUGAGACAGGUGCUGCAUGGCUGUCGUCAGCUCGUGUUGUGAAAUGUUGGGUUAAGUCCCGCAACGAGCGCAACCCUUAUCCUUUGUUGCCAGCGGUUAGGCCGGGAACUCAAAGGAGACUGCCAGUGAUAAACUGGAGGAAGGUGGGGAUGACGUCAAGUCAUCAUGGCCCUUACGAGUAGGGCUACACACGUGCUACAAUGGCGCAUACAAGGAGAAGCGACCUCGCGGGAGCAAGCGGACCUCAUAAAGUGCGUCGUAGUCCGGAUUGGAGUCUGCAACUCGACUCCAUGAAGUCGGAAUCGCUAGUAAUCGUAGAUCAGAAUGCUACGGUGAAUACGUUCCCGGGUCUUGUACACACCG
rnacentral:rRNA from 1 species